GGUAGCGUGGCCGAGUGGUCUAUGGCGCUGUGUUCAGGUAUAGUUAGUUAUUUUACUUCGAACCGCAGUCUUCGGGCGCGGGUUCGAAUCCCGUCGCUGCCA
rnacentral:tRNA from 3 species